GUCGGACGCGUACCUUCGGGUACGAGUGGCAAACGGGAGAGUAACACAUUGGCUAACCUACCUCGAAGUUCGGGACAACCCAUCGAAAGAUGGGCUAAUACCGGAUGUGCAUGAUACAUAUUUUGUAUCAUGUAAAGAUUUAUCGCUUCGAGAGGGGCCUAUGGUCUAUCAGCUUGUUGGUGAGGUAAUGGCUCACCAAGGCGACGACGGAUAGCGGGUGUGAGAGCAUGACCCGUCUCACUGGGACUGAGACACUGCCCAGACUCCUACGGGAGGCUGCAGUCAAGAAUCUUACCCAAUGGCCGAAAGGGUGAGGGAGCGACGCCGCGUGUAGGAAGAAGUCUUUCGGGAUGUAAACUACUUUUCUGUGGGAAUUACUAAUGAUGGUACCACAGGAAUAAGGGGCUGCUAACUUCGUGCCAGCAGCAGCGGUAAUACAAGGGCCCCGAGCGUUAUCCGGAUUUAUUGGGCGUAAAGAGUUCAAAGGUGGUUAUUUAAGUUUUCGGUUAAAUCCUGAUGCUCAACAUCAGAACCGCCGAGAAAACUAUUUAACUUGAGGGUAGAAGAGGUAGACGGAAUUGCCGGUGUAGUAGUAAAGUGCGUUAAUUUCGGCAAGAACACCAAUCGCGAAGGCAGUCUACUUGUAUAACCCUGACACUAUACGAACGAAAGCGUGGGUAGCGAAACGGAUUAGAUACCCGUGUAGUCCACGCCGUAAACGAUGGAUACUAGGCAUUGGGAGUGUCGACCCUUCCAGUGUCGGUUUAAAAGCUAACGCAUUAAGUAUCCCGCCUGGGGAGUACGGCCGCAAGGCUAAAACUCAAAGGAAUUGACGGGAACCCGCACAAGCGGUGGAGCAUGUGGUUUAAUUCGACGAUAACCGAGAAACCUUACCAGGGUUUGAAAUCCUAGCUGCUACGCCACAGAAACGUGGCUUCCUUCGAGGGUGCUAGGACAGGUGCUGCAUGGCUGUC
rnacentral:rRNA from 1 species